AGGACGAACGCUGGCGGCGUGCUUAACACAUGCAAGUCGAACGGAAAGGCCCUUCGGGGUACUCGAGUGGCGAACGGGUGAGUAACACGUGGGUGAUCUGCCCCGCACUUUGGGAUAAGCCUGGGAAACUGGGUCUAAUACCGAAUAGGACCAUGGCAUGCAUGUGCUGUGGUGGAAAGCUUUUGCGGUGUGGGAUGGGCCCGCGGCCUAUCAGCUUGUUGGUGGGGUUAAGGCCUACCAAGGCGACGACGGGUAGCCGGCCUGAGAGGGUGUCCGGCCACACUGGGACUGAGAUACGGCCCAGACUCCUACGGGAGGCAGCAGUGGGGAAUAUUGCACAAUGGGCGCAAGCCUGAUGCAGCGACGCCGCGUGGGGAUGACGGCCUUCGGUGUAAACCCUUCAGUAGGACGAAGCGCAAGUGACGGUACCUACAGAAGAAGCACCGGCCAACUACGCGCCAGCAGCCGC
rnacentral:rRNA from 1 species